AGACUAAGGGCCAGUUGCACCAAACCACCUGCUAACGUAAGCACAGUUCGCUAAAUUUUAACGCUUACGUGGGGGUCUUAACGAUUGCUAAAUAAAAUGCGUUGCACCAACUAUAAAAUAACAGAAUGUCGGCGCUAAUCGUGUGGCCAUACUAUGAACGCGUUCCUACCAAAAAAAUUAUGGUAGAAUUAUUUUUUCAUAUAGCAACCCAGUCAUAAAUGUCAGUUGUCAAAUUUUUCAACAACGAGAAAACUUGUAGGCGCGAACUAGUUUCUUUUCAGGUUUUAAAUCUAAAUAUUACACAAUUUAUGCCAUGCCAAUCUUGAAUAUAUUUAUGAUUAUAUUAAUGGCACAUUAAAUUAAAGUGAAACUACUGACUACGAUUGUUCAGUGUCCAAGUGCUUUCCAAGCUGCAAUACCGAAUUAAACAAGGAGCUGCAUUGCCCGGUUUGAUAUACACCAUUUGAUAUGGAAUACAAGAUGAAAGUUACACACAAGUGAAUCGAUUCAAGAAAUCAAAGAAUCAUACACUAGAUUAACUGGAAAAACUUGUUGCGAAAAAUAAAGUAUUAUAAAUGAUAUCUGAAUUUAAUUUUUGAUAAUAAAAUACAUUUUUAGUUACCUUA